GAUGAACGCUGGCGGCGUGCCUAACACAUGCAAGUCGAGCGAUUCUCUUCGGAGAAGAGCGGCGGACGGGUGAGUAACGCGUGGGUAACCUGCCCUGUACACACGGAUAACAUACCGAAAGGUAUGCUAAUACGAGAUAAUAUGCUUUUAUCGCAUGGUAGAAGUAUCAAAGCUUUUGCGGUACAGGAUGGACCCGCGUCUGAUUAGCUAGUUGGUAAGGUAACGGCUUACCAAGGCGACGAUCAGUAGCCGACCUGAGAGGGUGAUCGGCCACAUUGGAACUGAGACACGGUCCAAACUCCUACGGGAGGCAGCAGUGGGGAAUAUUGCACAAUGGGCGAAAGCCUGAUGCAGCAACGCCGCGUGAGCGAUGAAGGCCUCGGUCGUAAAGCUCUGUCCUCAAGGAAGAUAAUGACGGUACUUGAGGAGGAAGCCCGGCUAACUACGUGCCAGCAGCCGCGGUAAU
rnacentral:rRNA from 1 species